GUUUUGGUCCUUGAAUGUGAUUUUAGCUGCGAGUAACGUGUCCUCGCUCCUCUCGGGCUCCCUCGGAGGGUUUUCAGAGAGGUUUCAGUGCAUCCAUUUUCUCAGAUCCUCUUCUUCUUUCCGGGUAAGGAUCUGGGGCCCUGCGGUCGACUUGGAGCGCGUAGGCGGCGGCUCAGGCUCUCGGAGGGGUCUGCGCAGUGGCCGAGGGAGCUCCCGGACGGUGGCGGCGGCAGAUCUCCUGGGCUGGACGCCGUGAGGGGAACAAGCGGAUUUUCCCAGCAAGAUCUCCAUGUACAGCUACAUCUUUAGGGCCGCUCGGGUUAAUAUAUGUCGUCAGAGGCUCCUCACGCCAAUCCCGGGGCGGCGGGGGCGGCGCCUCGCACUCUCCGCAAUAAAACUUUUUGAUGUUCUUGUUGCUAAUUGCCGAGGUCCUUUUCCAGGAUUGGCUGCCCCUUCAUAACCAUAAGAUAAUUAAAACGAGGGGGGGGGCAGGGUUAAAAAAACGUUUUUAUCAGCCAGAGGUUAAUGCAAGUGUUUAACAGAUGCUUCAUUAUUAAAAUAUUUUUCCCCAAGUCUCAAAUAUUGAAGAAUCUCAAACCAGGUACAGUAUCACUCCGCUUUCUUUUCUGGUUGAAAAAAUAAAAGGAACGCAGAUACUGCUUUUCGAAGUGUUUGGUAUGUAACCGAGGCAAGAAAAUCAGCAGGCAGCCGGGUGCAGUUUUGUGCGGGGCCGAGAGCAGAUGAGGUGGGCGGCGAGGGCCCCACAAAGGGGCGGCUGGGCCCAGGCGGGCGCCGGGCGCGGGGCGCGGCGGGGAAGGCUGUUGCUUGGCCCUAGGCACAGGCUGGAAACGCCCGGCUUGGGAUGUCUUCACUUACCCACCACGUUAUCCCGGCCCAGGCCGUUUGGGGUGGCUCAUGUCAUUGUGGUUGCCUUUGGAGAUCACUGUGGAGACCCCAGAGGAAUGGUCAGGCCGAUUGUAAAUCCUCCUAUUUUCAUAUUCUUCAAGGGACACCAGGUCCAACGAAGACCUUGGGCGAUUUCAAAGCGCAGGCACCUCGAUUCCUCGAAUUUGUGGUGUGGCCGGUAUCGGUGUUCCCCUGGUUUAACUAGCCUGUUUGGCCCAGCUGAAAUGCCACCUCCCCCAGAAAGCCUUUCCAGGUAUUGCUUCCCUUUACUCUCUUGCCUCAAGACCCUGGGAGAACCAAGGAAGACGUCCUCCCAUCAAUUACGCUGGCAUUGGGUCUUCGUCAGCCAGUGUUGGAUCUGAGAGUGGGAGACCCUGCCCGGCCUCGCUGGGUACCCCCUAAGACAUCCUGAGCUUCGGAGUCAGAGCCAGGCAAGGUGGACUCUGGACUCCCCUCGGACAAGCUCCUCGGUCUCUCUAAGCCUAACUCUCCCCAUCUGAACAACGGGGUAAUGACCCCGACCUCGAGGGUGUUUAGGGCAGAUUAAAUGAAAUCAAGCUGCACUC
rnacentral:lncRNA from 1 species